AGGGGUCGUUAUGCAAAGGGGACUGCAGAGAGGCAGGAAUUCCACAUUGAAACAGUUGCGUAUGGACAUGCAGUGAUGCACUUGGAGAAAUAUUUAAUCAGUGUCCUUUCCUCAGAGUACAUGAGACAGCCAGUGCUAGCCAGUGCUAGCCAGCUGGCCUCCUGACACUCUAUGACACAGAGGGAGCCCCAUCCAAGUUCUCUUUCCAUCCAUCUAUUUUUGAACCCUUUUAACGCUUUAUGAGAGAGAAAGAGCAAACAACAGAACACGCAGGCAGGCAGGCAAGCAGGCAGUGUCUAACUCCACUCAACCAGCAUAGAGCCUGCAAGCUUGGGAGUGAAUUCAGUUUUUUCAGCACCUUGUCAUAGGAUAUAAACACUCUAUCUCACUACAGUAUUAGUCUAUGAAUUCCACGCUCUGGCAUACUGAGAUAUUUACAGACAAGAGACAGGGAGACAGAAGAGGCUAUGCUGGGAGGUUUAGAGAUCCAAGCGCUGUAUCCCUAAUAAGGAGAGGAACAGUAGGAAAGCCCAGAGAACAAGUGAGCCACUUGAAAGAGACAGCGUAGAAGACACACAAAUAUUCCUAGUUUCUUGCCUUGGCUGGAUAACACGGCUGCAAAAGCUUUCUUUCUUCCAUGGGUCCCAGUGGGCAGAGCGACAGGAGGCAGGAUGACCCUCAAGCCUGAUCCUCCUCAGCCAACCUGUGGCUCAUCUGAGAACCAGACUCCCAAUGUUCCUAGACUUUGCUCACCAGCCCUGAUCUUCAGAUUUCACCAUGAGAACAAAACCAGAACCCUCCUCUAAUCACAAGUUGGUGAAUAUACGGCAGCUGUAGUCAAAAACUAGAGAGGAGCUGGGAAGGUGGCCCCAUGAGUAAGAGCACUCGCUGGGCAAGCAUGAGGACCUGAGUUCAAAUCCCCAGAACCCAAAUAAAAAGCUUGGCAUGUCUGCACAUUCCUGUAACCCUAACAAUGCAGGGGCAGUGACAGGGGCACUCCAGAAUUCACUAGCCGGCUGGCCAGGCUGAAAUGGCAAGCUUGUGAUUCAUUGAAAGCCCUGUCCCAAAGGAGUAAGACAGACAACCAGAGGAAACCACCCAGCACCUUCCUUUGUCUUUGUAUGUGCGCACACAGAUGAGCACAUCUACAUGUGCACAGGCAUGCAGCGCACAGUGACUAUACUGAGGCCAGUUCUCACUUUAUUUUAUAUUUUAUACAAGAUAUGUGGGAAGGGGAAAACAUUAGAAAGGGCCUAGGUGAGAAAGUGAAAAAAAUCUUAGAUUGUAGAUUAGACCACCAUCAAGAAACAAUAAACAGCCUACAUCUUAAAACCCAAGUUUGAAAUGACAGAGAUGACCAUUUGGGUAUUCUCAGUUAACCUUGUCCCAGUGAGCCUCCAAUAGUGCUAAUGCAGCACAGCCAAUUAUACCAGCCCGGAAUCCACAACAAAGAGCCCCUCUGGAGCAGAAGCUAUCACAUUAGCUAUUCGACUGGAUGAAUUUGGACUGAGUGAUGGGACACGUUGCAGUAAGCUUACAAUCUCCAGAAACAACUGAACUAGCUCCCACCAUGGGGACUGUCAAGGAAGGAUAGGGCUGAUGAAAAGCAAGCAGAAAAUCAUCGUGAUCUGGGCUCAGAUUUACUUUAACUUUACACUAGAGUAUCUUACAUGUUGUUUCUUUUGUCCAAAGAUAGAAAUCGGUUUCUAUGAGUUUUAAGCUUAAUUCAGCCAUGGCCAUGUAUGGUACGAGGACUGCAUGACAUUAGGCACAAGCCCUCUUAGGGUUGUGACCUUGCAGAGAGGACACUUCCCCAGAGUGUCCACAAUACACACAGAGUCAAAGGGUUUCCUGUCUUGGUGCUUCUUUUAACUCUAGAGAAGACGGUGUUAGGCUGAUCAAGAACACCAAGGAGCAGCUUUUUGCUUCAUUCUAAGUACUGCAGUCUAACCUACCCACUGACCAUAAUGAAUUCCACUUAUCUUUUUAGAAUGUGGGUCUAUAGGAGAGGGAGGCUAUUUGGGAAAUGUGUGUUCAUAGCUUAUACAGUUUCCAGAAACUACCAAGCCUCAUCUAAUGGGACUACCAUGCUGAUGAUGACAUCACAGAAAGGGACACUAUGGUUCCCUGGCCCUGGGAACAGGGCGAGGCAAGCCUGGGUGGGUAGGACAUAGGAUUCCCACCUAGCCUACGUCUUCUAAACCUCAACUCAGUCCUUAAGGGAAGAUGUUCUGCCAGCAGAUCCAUAAACUCCACGGGGCUGGAACAAAGCCAAGUAGUUGGCCAGCCUGCCUUGCCUGUAUUGAAGCCGGUGUGUAAUUACAGCAAGUACUAUACAGCUAAGGAGUCAUGUUUACUUUCAGAGAAUAAAUCUGCAAAGUAACACAGGACUUAAAGUUCUCGACAUUCAAAUGGCAAAUCUUACACUGAAUGUGCAGAAUAAAAUCAGCCAUUUGCCAGUCUCCCUGAAGACAGCCCAGGAAACUAGAAGUUGAGUAACAAACAGAUCAAAGCAUGUUGGUGGACGUAUCACAGAAUGCUCAACCUUAUUAUACAGCUUCCCUUAUGAACUCCUCAAGGGCAAUGUUCAGCACACUGGUCUGAGGACAAGUGCCUAAUAAAGUUGUGUUAAAUACA